rnacentral:rRNA from 1 species
AGGUCAAGCUACAAAGGGCGCAUGGUGAAUGCCUUGGCAUCAGGAGCCGAUGAAGGACGCGAUAAGCUGCGAUAAGCUUCGGGUAGACGCACAUAGUCAGAGAUCCGAAGAUUUCCGAAUGAGGAAACUCACAUGGGAAACCCCAUGUAUCGUAAAGUGAAUACAUAGCUUUAUGAAGGUAAACCCAGGGAACUGAAACAUCUAAGUACCUGGAGGAAGAGAAAGAAAAAUCGAUUUUCUUAGUAGCGGCGAGCGAAAGGGAAAGAGCCCAAACCAAAGAUUUAUCUUUGGGGUUGCGGACAGAACAUUAACGAGAAAUUAUGGUUAACCGAACACAACUGGAAAGUUGGACCGUAGGGGGUAAUAGUCCUGUAGGUGAAAAUUAUAAUUAUCAAGUUCUGAUCCAGAGUACCACGAGACACGUGAAACCUUGUGGGAAGCAGGGAGGACCACCUCCCAAGGCUAAAUACUACCUGAUGACCGAUAGUGAAGCAGUACCGUGAGGGAAAGGUGAAAAGAACCCCGGGAGGGGAGUGAAAUAGAACCUGAAACCAUGUGCCUACAACCGAUCAAAGCACCUUAUGUGUGUGAUGAUGUGCUUUUUGUAGAACGAGCCAACGAGUUACGGUAUGUAGCAAGGUUAAGUACUUAAGGUACGGAGCCGAAGGGAAACCGAGUCUUAAUAGGGCGACUAGUUGCAUGCUGUAGACCCGAAACCGGGUGACCUAUCCAUGGCCAGGUUGAAGCGAGGGUAAAACCUCGUGGAGGACCGAACCACGUUGCUGUUGAAAAAGCAUGGGAUGAGCUGUGGAUAGCGGAGAAAUUCCAAUCGAACUCGGAUAUAGCUGGUUCUCCUCGAAAUAGCUUUAGGGCUAGCGUCGGAAAAUGUGAGUACUGGGGGUAGAGCACUGAAUGGGCUAGGGGGCAUAGCGCUUACCGAACCUUAUCAAACUCCGAAUACCAGAUACUAUCAGUCCGGCAGUCAGACUGCGAAAGAUAAGUUCCGUAGUCAAAAGGGAAACAGCCCAGAUCGUCAGCUAAGGUCCCAAAGUGUAAGUUAAGUGGAAAAGGAUGUGGGAUUUCUAAGACAACUAGGAUGUUGGCUUAGAAGCAGCCACUCAUUAAAAGAGUGCGUAAUAGCUCACUAGUCAAGAGAUCCUGCGCCGAAAAUGUCCGGGGCUCAAACUUACCACCGAAGCUACGGGUUCACACAUUAGUGUGAGCGGUAGAGGAGCGUCGUAAUCGGGCUGAAGUCGUACCGUAAGGAGCGGUGGACUGAUUACGAGUGAGAAUGUUGGCAUUAGUAGCGAGAUGUGGGUGAGAAUCCCACAGGCCGAAUACCUAAGGUUUCCUCAGGAAGGUUCGUCCGCUGAGGGUUAGUCGGGACCUAAGCUGAGGCCGAAAGGCGUAAGCGAUGGACAAUCGGUUGAUAUUCCGAUACCACUAUUAUCGUUAUUAUCGAUGGUGUGACGGAGAAGGAUAGGAUGUGCUAGCUAUUGGAUGCUAGUCUAAGCGUUUAGGGAGUUAGAAUAGGCAAAUCCGUUCUAACAAUUCUGAGGCGUGAUGGGGAAGGUUCUAAGGAACCGAAGUAUCUGAUUCCAUGCUUCCAAGAAAAGCAUCUAGAAAGAGAAAUAGUGCCCGUACCGCAAACCGACACAGGUAGGUGAGGAGAGAAUCCUAAGGCCGGCGGAAGAAUUGCAGUUAAGGAACUAGGCAAAUUGACCCCGUAACUUCGGGAGAAGGGGUGCCUGCGAGAGCAGGCCGCAGAGAAUAGGCACAAGCAACUGUUUAACAAAAACACAGGUCUCUGCUAAAGCGAAAGCUGAUGUAUAGGGGCUGACGCCUGCCCGGUGCUGGAAGGUUAAGGGGAACACUUAGCGUAAGCGAAGGUGUGAACUUAAGCCCCAGUAAACGGCGGCCGUAACUAUAACGGUCCUAAGGUAGCGAAAUUCCUUGUCAGGUAAGUUCUGACCCGCACGAAUGGCGUAAUGACUUGUGCACUGUCUCAACUGCAAAUCCGGCGAAGUUGUAGUGCGAGUGAAGAUGCUCGCUACCCGCGAUUGGACGGAAAGACCCCGUAGAGCUUUACUGUAGCUUAGCAUUGAAUUUCGGUAUUGUCUGUACAGGAUAGGUGGGAGACUGGGAAAUCAGAGCGUCAGCUUUGAUGGAGUCAUCCUUGGGAUACCACCCUGAUAGUACUGGAAUUCUAACUGGAUGCCA